rnacentral:rRNA from 1 species
GCGCGAAAACUUUACAAUGCUGGCAACAGCGAUAAGGGAACCUCGAGUGCCAGGUUACAAAUCUGGCUGUCGAGAUGCCUAAAAAGCAUUUCAUAGCAAGGGCCGGGCAAGACCGGUGCCAGCCGCCGCGGUAACACCGGCGGCUCGAGUGGUAACCGUUAUUAUUGGGUCUAAAGGGUCUGUAGCUGGCCGGAUAAGUCUCUUGAGAAAUCUGGCAGCUUAACUGUCAGGCUUUCAGGAGAUACUGUCUGGCUCGAGGCCGGGAGAG